GUGAAUCAUCGAAUCUUUGAACGCAUAUUGCGCCCCUUGGUAUUCCGGGGGGCACACCUGUUCGAGCGCCAUUCGGACCCUCAAGCGUCGCUUGGUGUUGGGCGAGGUCCCGGGGGACCCGCCCGCAACUCGUAGGCGGCCGCCGCCCACGCCCCCUAGCGUAGCAGGCUACACGCACCCGCUCGGGGGACGGCGCGCAGUCGCCCGCAAUUUCAAACCCAAAAGGUUUGGCCUCGGAUCAGGUGGGGAUACCCGCUGAACUUAAGCAUAUCAAUAAGCGGAGGA
rnacentral:misc_RNA from 1 species